rnacentral:rRNA from 1 species
UACGUAGGGGGCAAGCGUUGUCCGGAUUCAUUGGGCGUAAAGAGCUCGUAGGCGGUUCAGUAAGUCGGGUGUGAAAGCUCCGAGCUCAACUCGGAGAGGCCACCCGAUACUGCUGUGACUUGAGUGUGAGAGAGGCUCGUGGAAUUGCAGGUGUAGCGGUGAAAUGCGUAGAUAUCUGCAGGAACACCCGUGGCGAAAGCGGCGAGCUGGAUCACUACUGACGCUGAGGAACGAAAGCUAGGGGAGCAAACAGG